ACGCUCGACACCUACGGGAGGUAGCAGUGGGGAAUAUUGCACAAUGGGGGAAACCCUGAUGCAGCGACGCCGCGUGGAGGAAGAAGGUCUUCGGAUUGUAAACUCCUGUUGUUGGGGAAAAAGAGGAUGGUACCCAACAAGGAAGUGACGGCUAACUACGUGCCAGAGCCGCCGGUAAGUACUGAGCGGGCGUGGCGAAGGACG
rnacentral:rRNA from 1 species